GAUGAACGCUGGCGGCGUGCCUAAUACAUGCAAGUCGAGCGAAUGGAUUAAGAGCUUGCUCUUAUGAAGUUAGCGGCGGACGGGUGAGUAACACGUGGGUAACCUGCCCAUAAGACUAGGAUAACUCCGGAAAACCGGGGCUAAUACCGGAUAACAUUUUGAACCGCAUGGUUCGAAAUUGAAAGGCGGCUUCGGCUGUCACUUAUGGAUGGACCCGCGUCGCAUUAGCUAGUUGGUGAGGUAACGGCUCACCAAGGCAACGAUGCGUAGCCGACCUGAGAGGGUGAUCGGCCACACUGGGACUGAGACACGGCCCAGACUCCUACGGGAGGCAGCAGUAGGGAAUCUUCCGCAAUGGACGAAAGUCUGACGGAGCAACGCCGCGUGAGUGAUGAAGGCUUUCGGGUCGUAAAACUCUGUUGUUAGGGAAGAACAAGUGCUAGUUGAAUAAGCUGCACCUUGACGGUACCUAACCAGAAAGCCACGGCUAACUACGUGCCAGCAGCCGCAGUAA
rnacentral:rRNA from 1 species